UAGAAAUAGAAAUGAAUCCCCCGUUCAACCCUAAGCUACCUGGGCAGGCGACGGUGAUCGUCGACGGCGGGGGACGGAGGAGGAGACGUAGACGGAGGCGGGAGAGGUUAGGAAGGAGGAGGCAGAGGCAGUCCUUAUUGGAUCGACUGAAGGUUGGGUGGCUCGAAUCAGAGGUCAGCAUCUGGGCGGAAGGCGACGGCUGGGCGACGGUUACCGGCGAAAUUUAUUGGAAUCAGACGGCGACGCCGACGGCACCAAUUUGGUCUGAUGUUGGUCCACAGAACCAGUACCAGUUCAUCAGGGGAAGAUACCAAACAGAAGUAGAAGAUGACAGUGUAAAACUGGUGAGGAAGGAAGCAUGAGAUACAGGAACUGAAGGCAGAGAAGAAGAAAAUGCUUAGAAAUCACAGAGCAGAGAUGAGAAAUAGAGGUAAGAAGGAAAUGUUGAUUGUGUCUGUAGUAGCAACUCCUCUGUAUGACUCUGUUGCUUUGGUCACCAGGUUUUUUGUGUGACCAAGCACAAGAAUGUAUCAGCUUUGUGUGCUAUUGUAUCCAUGUACACGAUGUUAACUGGAAUAAGAAU